AUGAGCAAGGCAGGACAGCUUCCCGAAAGCGGUGGCAUCAGACUGGGCCUGAAAGGGUCAGGUCACAGCCCCGGGCUCCAUCACUUGCUACCAGAGUGACCCAGAAGAGAAGACAGGAUGAGUCGAGAAUGCAACCAUCAGCACCUCCCAGGAGUUUGCCAGCCUGGCAAGGCAAAGACACCAAGACAGGGACCCAGCUCCAAAGUACUCGCGGACACUGUCCAGCAGGCGGGGGCCUUGGCUUACGCAGAGGCUGGGUGCUCCAUGGCAUGGUCCAGAAAGGGCACCAGGGCUUGCGACCAGCAGGCCCAGGUGGGGAGCAGUGGGAGGAGGACCUGCUCUGCUCGGGAGUUUCACAAGGCACAAACAUUCCAGGUCUGGCCCCUGCCUCAGCCUUUCAGGAAAUCCUGUCAUUCAGCCAGGACAUAUAUCCCACUCGGACCGAUUUGACCAAGACCUUGGACUCGACAUUCUUCCUGUCCUAGGCAGGGCCCAUCUCACCUCUGGCUCAAUCCAGGAAUAGGAAAGGAUUUAAAAGUAAACGCUGAAAUGAGAAAGAUCUCGCUGGGCAGUCAUCAAACGCCGUUACAAUAGACAGGGCUCUGGCAGGUGCCUGACACGGCAGAGGCUCAAGGCUUGCUCAACAUGCUGCGACGUUCAAUGAUGAUUUUGCUUGGGUUGGUUUUGCAAAGCUCCUGCUCUCUGGCUGAAACCUCAGGACAGGGAAACCGAUGUGAUAAGAAGUCUGCCCUGAUAAUUAGGACCAAGUGUCAGUCCUGCUUGCUUAAUUUGAGAGCCAAGUGCCCAGAUGGUUACAGGAAGAUCAGCAACUACACCAUGGGAGUUCGAGAUUGCAGGUUCACCUUUGAGACUAGAACAGACUCCCAGUCUUUCCCCGGAUGCCGCCACAUCUGCAGGAAGGAGUAUCUCCAACCAGAGUGCUGUCCUGGCCACUGGGGUCCAGACUGCAUGGAGUGCCCGGGAGGAGCGGGGACGCCGUGCAGUGGCCGGGGCAGCUGUGCAGAGGGCAUGGACGGAAAUGGAACCUGCGCCUGCCAAGAGGGGUUUGGAGGACUAGCCUGUGAAACCUGCACCCAUGGCAAUUUAUUUGGACCCAACUGUUCCUCAGUGUGUAAGUGUGUGCACGGCGUGUGCAACAGCGGACUCCAGGGUGACGGGACCUGUGAGUGCUACUCUGCCUACACCGGCCCCAGCUGUGACACACCUGUCCCUGAAUGUGCAGCCUUGCUCUGCCCAGAAAAUUCCAGAUGUUCACCUUUGAAAGAAGACAGAACCAAGCUAGGAUGCCGAUGCCUCCCCAAUUACAAAGGCGAUGGCAAAAACUGUGAACCCAUCAACCCAUGCUUACAACAACCCUGCCACCUUCACGCCCACUGUGCAUACCUGGGGCCAAACCAGCACAGCUGCACGUGCAGGGACAGCUACUUCGGGGAUGGCCGCGUGUGUCUCCCGCUGGAUCCCUGUCAGAUGGACCUCGGGAACUGCCCGCCCGCAUCCACGGAGUGCAAGUAUGAUGGGCCUGGACAGUCGCACUGUGAGUGUAAGCAGCAUUACCACAACUUCGUACCUGGAGUGGGCUGCAGCAUGGCCGACCUCUGUAAGUCCAAGAACCCGUGUCACAGGAAAGCAUACUGCACCAUGAUCGAGCCGGGCCAGCCCAGAUGCACUUGCCAGAAAGGUUACGUGGGCGACGGCUUCACAUGCUAUGGAAACAUCAUGGAGCGACUUCAAGAGCUCAACACUGCGCCCAGGGGGAAAUGGCAAGGAAGGCUGACCUCGUUCAUCUCACUCCUGGACAGAGUUUAUGCCUGGCCGCUAAGCACCCUGGGACCGUUCACCUUGCUGCUGCCCUUGGAAGAGGCACCAAACUCGAUCAAUGUGACGGAGCUGCUGAUGGACCCCAAGGCCGCUCGGUACUUUGUGAAGCUCCACAUCAUCGCGGGGCAGAUGAGCACGGAGCGAAUGAACAACACCAACACCUUCUACACCCUGACUGGGGCGUCCGGGAAGAUCUUCAACCAGGACAAGGACAAUCAAAUAAAGCUUGAACUUCAUAAAGGCAAAAAGAAGGUAAAAAUUAUAGAGGGGAACAUCGUUGCUUCCAACGGCCUCAUACACAUCCUCGACAGAGCCAUGGACAAGAUAGAACCCACCUUUAAGAGCAACUCCAAGGAAACCAUAUGUAUAGUGCUACCAUCAAGACACAAAAAGUUCUGCUCUUUGUUGGAGGUUGUCAACUUGAUAUAUGACUUAGAGGUGAGAGGUGUUGCUGGAUCAUACACCAUUUUUGUGCCAAGUAAUGAAGCACUGAACAACAUGAAGUACCGUGAUCUUCAUUACCUUCUUUCGCCACAGGGCACUUGGAUGCUUCUGGAACUCCUCAGAUACCACAUUAUCCCGUUUACCCAGCUGGAAGUGGCCACCCUUGUCUCCACCCGGCAAAUCACGACCAUGGCCAACCAGAUCGUAGAGUUCAACACCACCGACAGCGGACAGAUUCUGGUAAACGGCGUGCCCGUAGAAAACACUGAGGUCGCUGUCAAAAAUGGGCUCAUUUACACGCUGGCUGGAGUUCUCAUGCCGCCCUCCUUCCUCCACGUCCCGUCUAGCCCUAGCCGGUGCGACGACUCCAACAGUGAAAUGAGGCCGGGCUCUUGCGUGAACUGCUUGGUGGCGUUCGAGAGUAAAUGUCCCGCCGACUCCGAGCCCACAGCGGUCUUCACACACAGAUGCGUCUACAGCAGCAGCAGCAGCAAGGCCCCGAAGAGUGGCUGUGCCCGAUACUGCAAUGCCACUGUGAAGAUCCCACAGUGCUGCAGAGGCUUCUACGGGCCCGACUGCACCGAGUGUCCAGGAGGCGUCUUGAAUACAUGCUCAGGAAACGGCCAGUGUGUGGACGGCAUCCAUGGCAACGGGACGUGCAUUUGCAAGGAUGGCUUCUACGGCUCCGAGUGUCAGUUCUGCUCUGACCCCAAUAAGUACGGACAUAAGUGUGAAAAAAGAUGCCGGUGUGUCAAGGGGACCUGCAACAACAGGGUAGACAGCAACGGGGACUGCCUGCCUGACACCUGCCAAGACGGCACAUUUGGGCAUUUCUGCAAUUUCCGGGCCUUUCCCUGUGGCUACCUAGUGCCUGUCUGUGACGUCCGCUCCUUCUGCCAAUCGGAAAUUUACGGAGAAAGCUGCAUCUGCGAGGACGGCUACCUUUAUGACGGCUUUGGUUGCUACGAGCAGGACCCCUGUAGAGACCCAGACCGGGGAGGCUGCAGCCGCAACGCUGAAUGCAUCAAAACCGGCCCAGGGUCACACACCUGCGUGUGCCACCGAGGCUGGAUGGGCAGUGGCAGGGACUGCAAGGAGAUCAACCCCUGCCUGCUGCCCAGCAAGGGCGGCUGCCAUGGCAGUGCCACCUGUCUGUACGUGGGCCCGGGCCAGAACGAAUGUGAGUGUCAGAAAGGAUUUCGAGGAAAUGGGAUCGACUGCGAACCGAUAAUCUCAUGCUUGGAACAAACCGGGAAGUGUCACCCACUGGCAACCUGCCAAGCUGUGGCCCCUGGCGCCUGGAGCUGUGUUUGCCAGGAGGGCUACGAGGGGGACGGAGUCCUGUGCUACGGCGACGUGGCCACCGAGUUGUCAUUUCUCCCCGAAGCAGCUGCCUUUAACCAGUGGAUCAGUAAAGCGUCGCUGCAACCCCUGCUGUCCAGCACCUCCAACCUCACCGUCCUCGUGCCGUCCUGGCGAGCUAUUGAGGACAUGGACCGAGACGAGAAGAGCUUCUGGUUGUCAUGGAGCGAUCUCCCGGCCCUGAUAAAGUUCCACACCAUCCUAGGCACCUACGGUGUGGCAGAUCUGCAGAGCCUGACAUCCUCUGACAUGCUGGCCACGUCUCUACCAGGUGGCUUUCUUCACCUGGAAAAGGCAGAUGGGAACGUCACCAUCGGAGGAGCCUCCAUCGUCGAUGGUGACAAUGUGGCCACCAACGGCAUGAUUCACAUCAUCGACAAGGUGCUGGUCCCCCAAAGAGGUCUAAGUGGCUCCUUACCAAACCUGCUCACCCGGCUGAAUCAGAUGCCUGACUACUCCAUCUUCCGGGGCUACAUCAUUCAUUAUAAUCUGGCAAGUGCCAUUGAGGCUGCUGACUCUUACACCGUGUUUGCCCCGAACAACGCCGCCAUCGAGAAUUACAUCAAGGAGAAGAAGGUUGCCACUCUAGGGGAGGACACACUCCGCUAUCACGUGGUCCUGAAGGAGAAGCUCCUGAAGAGCGACCUGCACAACGGCAUGCACCGGGAGAGCAUCCUGGGGCCCUCCUACCACCUCGGCUUCUUUCUCCGAGAUCAGCAGCUCUAUGUAAACGAGGCUCCAAUAAACUACACCAAUGUGGCGACUGACAAGGGAGUGAUCCACGGCCUGGGGAAAGUUCUGGGAAUUCAGAAGAAUAGAUGUGAUAACAAUGAGACCACCGUUGUACGAGGAAAGUGUGGAAAGUGUCUCCAGCGCCCCAUCUGCCCACCUGGAACCAAACCACUAGGCAAUGAGAAGACCAAGUGCAUCUACAGUCUUUACUUCAUGGGGAAGCGCUCUGUGUUCAUCGGGUGCCGGCAGACGUGUGUGAGGACUGUCCUCACCCGCGAAUGCUGCGCCGGCUUCUUCGGGCCAGAGUGCCAGGCCUGCCCCGGCCAGCGCGGGAGCGCCUGCUUCGGGAACGGCGUCUGCAUGGACGGCGUCAACGGCACGGGCGCGUGCGAGUGCGGCCCCGGCUUCCACGGCACGGCCUGCGAGACCUGCGUGGACGCCAAGUACGGGGUGCACUGCGACCAAGCGUGUUCCUGCGUCCACGGGAGAUGCAGCCAGGGACCCUCGGGCGACGGCUCCUGCGACUGUGCCGUGGGCUGGCGGGGAGUGCGAUGCGACAGCGCCAUCACAGAGGACAGCUGCAACGGGACAUGCCACACCAGCGCCAACUGCCUUGUCAGCCCAGAUGGCACAGCCACGUGCAGAUGUGCAGCUGGAUUCCAAGGGAACGGGACCAUCUGCAAAGCCAUCAACCCCUGUGAGACCAGAAACGGAGGAUGCUCAUCCAAGGCAGACUGUAAAAGAACCACCCCAGGAAGCCGGAUGUGCGUGUGCAAGGCGGGCCACACUGGCGACGGCAUCGUGUGCCUUGAAAUCAACCCGUGUUUGGAGAACCACGGUGGCUGUCACCAGAAUGCCGAGUGCACACACACAGGACCCAACCAGGCUGCCUGCAACUGUUUGCCCACCUACAGUGGCGACGGGAAAGUCUGCACACUCAUCAACGUCUGCCUGAAGAAAAACGGCGGCUGCAGCCCCUACGCCAUCUGCAAUCACACUGGGACAGGCGAGAGGACUUGUACCUGCAAGCAGAACUACAUCGGGGACGGAUUCACCUGCCGGGGCUACAUCUAUGAGGAGCUCCCCAAGAACCCCCAAACAUCCCAGUACUUCUUCCAGCUGCAGGAGCACGGAGUUCGAGAGCUGGCAGGGCCGGGCCCCUUCACCGUGUUCGCGCCUUUGUCUGCAGCCUUCAGCGAGGACCCCCAGAUUAAAGACUGGCACAGCCAGGGCCUCAUGCCCCAGGUUCUCCGGUACCACGUGGUCGCCUGCCACCAGCUGCUUCUGGAAAACCUGAAACUGACCCCGAACGUUACUUCCCUCCAAGGAGAGGGGAUUGUCAUCUCCGUCUCUCAGGAUGCAGUGUAUAUAAAUAACCAGGCCAAGAUCAUAUCCGGCAACAUCAUCAACACUAACGGAGUCGUCCACAUCAUAGACAAAUUGCUGUCGCCGAGGAACUUGCUGGCCUCCCCCAGAGACUCCAUGGGAAGGAUUCUGCAAAACCUUACGACGGUGGCAGCAAAGCACGGCUACGGCCGGUUCAGCAAACUGUUGCAGGACUCGGGCUUGCUGAGCGUCAUCACCGACCCCAUCCACACGCCUGUCACUCUCUUCUGGCCCACGGACCGCGCCCUGCAAGCUCUCCCCCAGGAGCAGCGGGAUUUCCUGUUCAGCCCGGACAACGAGGACAAGCUGAAGGGGUAUCUGAAGUUCCACGUGAUCCGCGAUUCCAAGGUGUUAGCUGUGGAUCUCCCCAGAUCUGCUUCCUGGAAGACCUUGCAAGGCUCAGAGCUAAGUGUGAAGUGCGGAGCUGGCAGUGACAUUGGUGAGCUCUUCCUAAAUGGCCAGAUGUGCAGAAUCGUGCAGCGAGAACUCUUCUUCGACCUGGGCGUAGCCUACGGCAUCGACUGUCUGCUGACGGAUCCCAGCCUGGGAGGGCGCUGUGACAGCUUCAGUACUUUCAAUGUCCCGGGGGAUUGCGGAAGCUGCCUCAAUACCCCCAGGUGCCCAAGGUGGACCAAACCGAAGGGGGUGAAGCAGAAGUGCUCCUACAGGAUGAUGCCCUUCAGGAGCGUCCUGGAAGGCUGCCGGAAUGAGUGCACCCUGGUGAUCCAGCUGCCCAGGUGCUGCAAGGGCUACUUCCUGCCCGACUGCCAGGCCUGCCCCGGAGGACCCGACACCCCGUGCAGCAACCGAGGCAUCUGCCAAAAGGUGUACUCAGCCGAGGGACAGUGCCGCUGUGACAACGGCUUCAACGGGACAGCGUGCGAGCUGUGCUGGCCGGGGCGCUUCGGGCCGGACUGUCAGCCCUGCGGCUGCUCCGACCACGGCCAGUGCGAUGACGGCAUCUCGGGCUCCGGUCUCUGCCUCUGCGAGAGUGGAUGGACAGGCCACCUCUGCGACACACGCACAGCUGUGUCCCCAGUGUGCACGCCACCCUGUUCUGCUCAUGCCACCUGUAUGGAGAACAACACGUGUGAGUGUAACCUGAAUUACGAAGGGGAUGGAAUAACGUGCACAGUUGUGAAUUUUUGCAAACAGAACAAUGGGGGCUGUGCAAAGGUCGCCCAGUGCUCCCAGAAGGGCACCAAGGUCUCUUGCAACUGCCCAAAGGGCUACCAGGGGGAUGGCCACAGCUGCACGGAGAUAGACCCUUGCACGGAUGGCCUCAACGGGGGGUGUCACGAGCAUGCCACCUGCAAGAUGACUGGUCCGGGCAGGCACAAGUGUGAGUGUAAGAGCCACUACUCCGGGGACGGGCUGGCCUGUGAGCCCGAGCAGCUGCCCCUGGACCGCUGCCUUCAGAACAACGGGGACUGCGCUCCGGAUGCCGACUGUGUGGACCUCCACUUCCAGGACACCACCGCCGGGGUGUUCCACAGCCGCUCCCCACUGGGCCAGUACAAGCUGAACUUUGACCAAGCCAGCCUGGCCUGUGCCAAGGAAGCUGCAGUGAUGGCCACCUACACCCAGCUCUCCUAUGCCCAGAAGGCCGGCUAUCACCUCUGCUCGGCCGGCUGGCUGGACAGUGGGCACGUGGCCUACCCUACAGCCUAUGCCUCCCAGAAGUGUGGCGGGGGCACCGUGGGGAUCGUGAACUACGGCGUCAGAUCCAACAAGAGCGAGAUGUGGGAUGUCUUCUGCUACCGCAUGAAAGAUGUGAACUGCACCUGCAGGCCGGGCUACGUGGGAAACGGCGUCUCGUGCAAUGGGAAUCUGCUGCAGGUCUUGAUGUCCAACCCCUUGCUGAAGAACUUCCUGAAGGAGGUGCUGGCCUACUCCAACAGCUCAGCCCGAGGCCGGGUGUUCCUGAAGCACCUGACGGACCUGUCCAUCCACAGCACCCUCUUUGUGCCCCCCAACAAUGGGCUGUGGGAAAACGAGACCCUGUCGGGGCGGGACAUCGAGCACCACCUGGCCAGUGUCAGCGCCAUCUUUUACGAUGACUUUGUCAAUGGUACCACCCUGCGGACUAGGCUGGGAAGCCAGCUGCUUGUCACCGCCAGCCGUGACCAGCCCGACCUGAAGGAGAUCUGGUUCGUGGAUGGAAGAGCCAUUCUGGAGUGGGACAUCUUUGCCUCCAACGGAGUCAUCCACAUCAUUUCCAGGCCUUUAAAGGCGCCCCCUGCCCCAGUGACUUCGACUCAUGCUGGCUUGGGGACAGGGAUAUUCUUUGCCAUCAUCCUGGUCACUGGAUCGAUCGCUUUGGCUGUCUAUUCUUAUUUCCGGCUAAAUCGGAGAGCCAUUGGCUUCCGGCGUUUUGAGUCAGACGAGAAUGUGGACGUUGCUGCCCUCAGCAAGCAGCCUCCGGAGAACAUCUCGAACCCUGCGUACGAGAGCUGGAGCUCAGCGCCACCCCCGCCCCCCUGCGAGCCCCUCUCCGCUGAGCACCCUCAAGCCCAAAGAAAUAAUGUGCCUGGCUCACGUGGGUCUACAGUGCCUGUGGGAUUGACCAAAGCCAGAGAGCAGCUGACAUUGUUUAGUGCACACAGCGACGCUAUCCCCCCAAGACUGUGCUGUGGUUAAUUGAAUUUUUCUGUCUUCCUUCCCCAGGCCCUGUCUGCUCUGCGCAUGACUGACUCAUCUGAGACAGGAGCUGGACAGCAGUGACCCCCUGGGGGCCGGGACGCUGUGAGGCUCCCACGAGAGCAACCAGCUGUCAGCCACCGCAUCCCAGCCAUCGGAGCCUCGGAAGGCCCUCAACUGUGAAUCCUCAGAACCAGCAGCCUCGUGGAACGAAGAGACUCAGCAUUUCACAAGCUGAACCUCUCUGCAGUAAAGGACCAACUGCUAAGGGCACCAGCAGACGGUGCCCUCUGCCGAGUCCUUCCUCCCCACCUUUCAGAUGUCACUUAUUACAUCCCGCCAGCCGUGGGCAGCUGGAUCUCUCCCAGACAGGGCUUGCCCGCUCGCCUUUCUAUCCCAGCUCCCAGCCCUGGAAAUGUGCUCGGAAAUGUUUAUGCAACAGAAAUAAAAUCAACAAAACAUA